rnacentral:ncRNA from 1 species
AUCGUGUGAUGUAUGAUCAUAGCUAACAAAAAACACAUAUCAUUAAGUAACACAUGUUGGUAAAAGGAAUAAGAUUGUUCCAAUGCGAGAGGGUGAGUAUAGGAUCUUUCCACCAAAGAGCUUAAAAAAUGCGUUUUGUCAUCAAAAUAAUUGGCAUCACGCAGAGCAGCCUGCCUCGUCGUCGUCCUCGUGACGACUAUUAGUUCUGCCCCCUAAAUGGGCGUUCUAUGAAAGAUCGAGGUUUGGUGCAAGGGCGCGCUCCAAGUGUGGGCGCCAAAUCAAGCAAUUGGCUUUGACGAAAGAUUCUGAGGUUUAGGUAUAGAAAGGGGUUCUAUCAUCAUUUUUGAUCAUAUUUCACCAAUUAUUUCUGCCAUUGAUCCUUAACAUAAGUCACAAAAUUGAAUGAGAAACAAUUUCCAUACGGCAGCAGUGAAAAAUCUUGAGCAAUGAAUGUUAAUUUGACUCAGUUGAUGAUUAUUAUUUGUAAGACAUAAUGAUUAUAUUACAAAUUAUUUGAUAAAUUUCAUUACAAUUAGGAGUUUUCAUUUGUGUCACACGCAUAGCGGCUUUUCAUUUCUUUUCAUUUAUUUUUUAUUUGACUAAAUUUGACUAAAUUUGACUCCAUUUUGAUUGUUUUGGAUUUUAUUCUUUCCCCUGGAUAAUCUCUGUGCCAGCAGCCGCGGUAAUACAGAAAGGGAAGUGUUAUUGAUUUUUAAUAGGUUUAAGAGUAAAUAGAUUGUUAUUAUUAGAUCUUUUCAUUUAGUUUUCUCCUUUAAUUAAUCUUUUAUUUUUUAUGUUUUCAUAAUAAUUUGAUUUUAAUAAGGAUAAUAAAAAUAAUAAGGAUAAUUAAGAUAACUAGAAUAUUUUAGAAAUAGUAAUGAAUAAUUAAUGUAAAAAUGAAAUCUGAUAAGAUUAAUUAGAAAAAUGAGUGACAACAUUCUAUUAUAAAAAUAUUGACAUUUUAUUACUAAAGUUUGGGAAAUAAACCAGAUUAGAUACCUGAUUAAUCCAUACCCUCAAUUGAAAGAUUAGAUCUUUUCACCUCCAUAGUAUUUUGGCAACAUUGAAACGGAAUUGAUUUGACGGGUCUUAACAUCAGCAGUGGAACAUGUGGUUUAAUUAGAUGAUACGCUAUAAAUCUUACCUUAAUCUUUAGUAUUGCAUGGCUAUUGUAAGUUAAUUUAGCAAUAAUUAAAUUGACUAAUAAAGAAUAUUAAAUUUCUUCUUACUU